rnacentral:rRNA from 1 species
GAUCAACGCUGGCGGCGUGCCUAAUGCAUGCAAGUCGUGCGGCCGAGCUUCGGCUCGGCAGCGGCGAACGGCUGAGGAACACGUGCGUGACCUGCCCCGCGGUGGGGGAUACCGGGUGGAAACACCCGCUAAUACCGCAUCCGCGCGUCCGGACCGCCGGACGCGGAAAGCCUUCGGGCGCCGUGGGAGGGGCGCGCGGCCCAUCAGGUGGUUGGUGGGGGAAUGGCCUACCAAGCCGAAGCCGGGUCGCUGGUCUGAGAGGACGGCCAGCCAGACUGGGACUGAGACACGGCCGAGACACCUACGGGUGGCAGCAGCAAGGAAGCUGCGGCAAUGGGCGCAAGCCUGACCGAGCAACGCCGCGUGGAGGACGACGGCCUUCGGGUUGUAAACUCCUUUUCGUGGGGACGACACGGACGGUACCCACGGAAUCAGCCCCGGCUAACUCUGUGCCAGCAGCCGCGGUAA